rfam:Nicotiana attenuata strain TT chromosome 7, whole genome shotgun sequence.
UUCCCUUUCUUCGCCUUUUUGCUAAGAUCAAGUGUAGUAUUUGUCCUUAUCAGUUUAAUAUCCAUGGGAUGUUGUGUCACGUGAUAUUCACUCAUAUAAUGGGAAAAACAAGCUUUAAAUUUUUUAAUUGAGCAGCAAAGAGAUGCUCCCGAAUACCUGCUUUAUCAGCAAAAUAGAAAUGUUAACCAUUC